AUGCCGCGGUGAAUACGUUCCCGGGCCUUGUACACACCGCCCGUCACACCACGGGAGUUUGCAACACCCGAAGUCGGUGAGGUAACCGCAAGGAGCCAGCCGCCGAAGUGGGGUAGAUGACUGGGGUGAAGUCGUAACAAGGUAUCGUACCGGAAGGUGCGGAUGGAUCACCUCCUUUCU
rnacentral:rRNA from 1 species